GCAAGUUAUUAUAAAUGUUCUUUAUGUUUAGCUCUAGUAAGUCAUUUGGUCUCUUUGUAAAAUCAAUAGCAUUUUCUUUAUAACCUUAUCAGAGUAGAUUUCAUGCAUCAUGGAUGCUAUCGAACCAUUACGAUACGGUGGUUGUGGAGACACGAUGACCGUUGAGGAUAUUGCUUCCUUGAAGCUUAAUUCCUCUAGAAACUAUCGUGUGAUUUUGUUGUUCCAUAUACGCAGAAUAACACUGACUGCGACGGCAACAUUCCACACACUCACACGCACACUCAUAUGCUUCGUUGGAUUCUCCCUGCGCGGAGGGAAGCAAAGCGAUGUGUGCGAAUUGCGGAGCCAACUCGACCUUUUGGGAUUGAAGAUUGGUAAUCCAAGUUACCUCCUGUGGGAAUUGCCUUUUCAGGGCAUUGGCGGAUCAACUGGAAGAAGACGAAGACGAGCAUGAGAAUUAUUCGAGCAUGGUGGUCUUAAGGACAAUCAAACAAUGUUUGAGCCCUUUGUUGAAGAUGAAGUUCCUUUCGAGAAAUAUUAUAAAUCCAAAAUGGAAACGGCUUAUAACUGCAAGCACAGAAGCAAUUGGUAUGGGCAAUUAUGAAAAGCACAACAAAUGUGUAGAUCCGUGCAAUAAGUGUAAGUUUUUGCUAGCAUAAAUGGAUGCUAUCAAACCUUUACGACAAUGUGGUGGUGGAGACUAACUACCUUUUUAAUGUGCCAUGUAAAAGUAUGCCGUUGCUGGAAUUCAACCUUGUAGCUCCGUCCACUUACCGAUGCCUCAUGGCAGAGUAUAGUUAUGUCAGGCACACCCCCUUUAACACGGCUCGCCUUAUAGAAAAUUUUUCUAUUAAGAUUUGAGCUCUAAGAUGAUGUUAAAUGAGUAGAGCAUUGUACUUUUGUAAUUAAAAGAACUUUAUAUUUUUUUAGAGUUUAUGUAAGUUUUUA